rnacentral:rRNA from 1 species
AACCUUUACACUACGCGCAAGCGUGAUAAGGGGAUCCUAAGUGCUCAUGCACUGCAUGGGCUUUUGUCAAGGGUAAAAACCUUGACGAAUAAGUGGUGGACAAGACUGGUGCCAGCCGCCGCGGUAACCCCAGCGCCACAAGUGGGGAUCGCAUUUAUUUGGCCUAAAGCGUCCGUAGCCGGACUGUCAAAUCUCUUGUGAAAUCGUUAAGCUCAACUUAACGGCGUGCAGGAGACACUAGCAGUCUAGGAACUGGGAGGCGUCAGAUGUAUGCUUAGGGGAGCAGUAAAAUGCUAUAAUCCUAAGUGGACAACCUGUGGCGAAGGCGUCUGACGAGAACAGGUUCGACGGUCAGGGACGAAAGCUAGGGGAGCAAUCCGG